CGCCUCUUAAACUCCUCCUGAUUGGUCUCAAUGAGAUGCAGCUGCUGGACCACACCUGCCAGUCACACCAUGCAGAGAGGAGCUGGGAGACGGCAAACUCAGUUCUCGUCCCUUUGGAGAGGAGCACUGGCAGAAGAACAUUAGCUCAUUUUAACGGCCUUCGUAAUAAUCUGUGCACCGGAGGGGCUCUGUUUGAAGCGCUUACUUUCCGCUAAAGCCUUUAGGAGGCUCCCCUGUCAAUAACAAGACAGUCACUUCAUUAUACCCUCACAUGUCACGCAAUUAUUAUCUAUUGUCCCCAGCAGAGAAGAAAAAAAAAUAACAGAGCAUGGAGUCAGAAGCUACAAUUUAUUAAUCAAAAGGCUCACGAUUGUGUCAAAAUGUAAUUUUCUGCUCCAAGACUGCAAUGUGUAAUUGUUUGAUUUGAUAACUAGAGGGACGUGGUGUACCCAGGGACAAAGCCAUCUCCUGCCUCACACAAAUAGCCAUAGUCCGGUGCCUGUUCUAAUGUUUAAAUUUAAGAUGAUGAGAGUUUCUUUGAGAAAAACAUGAAAAAAAGAGAAGUGAGAGUGCGAUCUGUUGGUUGUUAAAAAAAAAGCAUGUCAGGGGUGGCAAAGACACUUCUACAACUAUUUCCAAAUGUGAAGGCGGUAAAAGUAAAAGCACGUUGUCCCUUCUAACAAUAAAUGUGUCAGUGAAGCUUAAGGCUUUGGAGCUUUAAAUGAUUUUUACAUGCAUUCUUUUAAUAAUUACUGUUGUGUUACUGCUUGCAUCGUUUCUCAAAAAUUCAAUUGUAAAAAAGGACAUUUUCCUGCCUUUUCACUAAAAUGUUUUUUCAUCACACCGUGGAUUUUAUUGAACUUUGAGUUGAUGCAUGCUCCCUUCCUCCAACUUAAAAAAAAUCUAAAGUUGCAACUUGGAAGAAAAAAAUAAAUAAAGAGAUGGCACAACA